AGCCUUCAGAUUCCUUAACCCCAAGAUCUAAACAUUGGUUUCAGUGGUUAUAAAAGAAGGAAAAGUGACAUUGAAACUGAUUUAAAUUCUUUUGUGACACAUGAGCUGGUUUAAAAUGAGC
rnacentral:snoRNA from 1 species